UACGGGGGGGGCAAGCGUUGUUCGGAAUUACUGGGCGUAAAGGGCGCGUAGGCGGCUCGCUAAGUCGGAUGUGAAAACUCUGGGCUCAACCCAGAGCCUGCAUUCGAAACUGACGAGCUCGAGUUCUGGAGGGGAAAGCGGAAUUCCUGGUGUAGCGGUGAAAUGCGUAGAUAUCAGGAGGAACACCGGUGGCGAAGGCGGCUUUCUGGACAGAAACUGACGCUGAUGCGCGAAAGCGUGGGUAGCAAACAGG
rnacentral:rRNA from 1 species